GUGCACGCUGGCGGUAGGCCUAACACAUGCAAGUCGCACGGCAGCACAGUAAGAGCUUGCUCUUACGGGUGGCGAGUGGCGGACGGGUGAGGAAUACAUCGGAAUCUACUUUUUCGUGGGGGAUAACGUAGGGAAACUUACGCUAAUACCGCAUACGACCUACGGGUGAAAGCAGGGGAUCUUCGGACCUUGCGCGAUUGAAUGAGCCGAUGUCGGAUUAGCUAGUUGGCGGGGUAAAGGCCCACCAGGGCGACGAUCCGUAGCUGGUCUGAGAGGAUGAUCAGCCACACUGGAACUGAGACACGGUCCAGACUCCUACGGGAGGCAGCAGUGGGGAAUAUUGGACAAUGGGCGCAAGCCUGAUCCAGCCAUACCGCGUGGGUGAAGAAGGCCUUCGGGUUGUAAAGCCCUUUUGUUGGGAAAGAAAAGCAGCAGGUUAAUACCCCGCUGUUCUGACGGUACCCAAAGAAUAAGCACCGGCUAACUUCGUG
rnacentral:rRNA from 1 species